rnacentral:rRNA from 1 species
GACGAACGCUGGCGGCGUGCUUAACACAUGCAAGUCGAACGGAAAGGCCCUGCUUUUGUGGGGUGCUCGAGUGGCGAACGGGUGAGUAACACGUGAGUAACCUGCCCUUGACUUUGGGAUAACUUCAGGAAACUGGGGCUAAUACCGGAUAGGAGCUCCUGCUCCAUGGUGUGGGUUGGAAAGUUUCGGCGGUUGGGGAUGGACUCGCGGCUUAUCAGCUUGUUUGUGGGGUAGUGGCUUACCAAGGCUUUGACGGGUAGCCGGCCUGAGAGGGUGACCGGCCACAUUGGGACUGAGAUACGGCCCAGACUCCUACGGGAGGCAGCAGUGGGGAAUAUUGCACAAUGGGCGGAAGCCUGAUGCAGCAACGCCGCGUGCGGGAUGACGGCCUUCGGGUUGUAAACCGCUUUCGCCUGUGACGAAGCGUGAGUGACGGUAAUGGGUAAAGAAGCACCGGCUAACUACGUG